UACAUUAAAGGAACUCGACUGGCCUACA
rnacentral:sRNA from 1 species